GAUGAACGCUAGCGGCAGGCUUAAUACAUGCAAGUCGAGGGGCAGCAUGAGUAGCAAUACUUGAUGGCGACCGGCAAACGGGUGCGGAACACGUACGCAACCUUCCUUUAAGUGGAGAAUAGCCCGGGGAAACCCGGAUUAAUACUCCGUAACAUUAUGAUGUGGCAUCACUUUAUAAUUAUAGAUUUAUCGCUUAAAGAUGGGCGUGCGCCUGAUUAGGUAGUUGGCGGGGUAACGGCCCACCAAGCCUUCGAUCAGUAACUGGUGUGAGAACACGACCAGUCACACGGGCACUGAGACACGGGCCCGACUCCUACGGGAGGCAGCAGUAAGGAAUAUUGGUCAAUGGACGCAAGUCUGAACCAGCCAUGCCGCGUGGAGGAUGAAGGUCCUCUGGAUUGUAAACUUCUUUUAUUUGGGACGAAAAAAGAUCAUUCCUGAUCACUUGACGGUACCAGAUGAAUAAGCACCGGCUAACUCCGUGCCAGCAGCCGCCGUAACAC
rnacentral:rRNA from 1 species